UACGAAGGGGGCUAGCGUUGCUCGGAAUUACUGGGCGUAAAGCGCGUGUAGGCGGGUCGUUAAGUGUCCGAGUGAAAUCCCACGGCUCAACCGUGGAACUGCCGGGCAUACUGGCGAUCUUGAGGCAUUCAGGGGCGAGCGGAACAAAUGGUGGAGCGGUGAAAUGCGUAGAUAUCAUUUGGAACGCCAAUGGUGAAAACAGCUCGCUGGGAAUGAUCUGACGCUGAGACACGAAAGCCAGGGGAGCAAACGGG
rnacentral:rRNA from 1 species